CGCCGCUUAGCGGGUUUGCACUUCAAAGACUGACAAUCCUCGGUGGACGCCGCCACCUCUAGCAUCUGCUCCGGCGAAUCACAUUGCGGGCUCUGCGCAAUGCUAAAGAAUCAUGCUUUGUGAAGGAAGAAUAGAUGGUUUAUGUUGAGAGUUGCUUUGGAAUUGAGAGUUGAAGCAUCAAGGAAGAAGGAUGAACUUGGGGAAAUUGGGCAGCUAGAGUGACAUAUAACCGUCAAAGAUUAAGAUGCUUGCAAGAAAAUGACAAUGUUUGGCAGGCUCCUAUGUGACACAUGCUAGUAGUUGGUAAUGAAUGGCAAUUGCCAGCCUGCCACCAUUAUAUUUUGUAGCAUUUAUAAAUGCUAUUACUGGCAACAGUGGUCAAAGGGAUUAAAAAUUCACACUUGAAACGGUGGGAAAUUGCCUAUAUAGUUAUCUCGCACUGUUUCAGGCUGAUUCUUUGGGCGUUAAGGCCUUUCACUGUAAAAGACCCAUUGUUUCCCCCUUUUGUUGGUUAAUGUCAACGUUCUUGUGCCUCCAGCGCACUAGCCAAGUGGCCAAGAGAACUUUUUUAAGCUACUUUCCUUUCUCAAGCUAGUAUUCAAGUCAAACUUAAUUUCCCACCAAAUUUUUUGGCAAGUUUUUACAUUCCUCAGCGUGAUUCAGAAAUUAUAUACUAAAUGAGGUAAGUUUUAGAAUUUUGCAAUUAAUAGUUAUUUUAGGUGUGAUGAUGUGUUGCCUUUUUCAGUAAAUUCCUUUAAUAGGAUUGAUUUGAGUCAUAUGGCUUCUUCCUUCCUUCCUUUCUUUUUUUUUUUUUAAAUAACUCAUUAUAACAAUUAACACCAGAUGCCACUGCUGACAACCUGAUACAUCAACUGCAUGACUUUGACUCCUGAUUUAAAACCAUGGUCUAAAGGAACUAGCAUUUGCAAUUUUUUUUCACAUCCAAAUUAUUAUUUUUAUAAAGUAUUCUUAAGAUGAGUUGCUCAUAAGAACAAAUUAUACGUGAAAUUAUGUUACUGCAUAGUCACUGGGCUGGAAAAAUAACUGAGCUUUAAUUAUUUAUUAUUUCUGUUGACCUCUUUUCACUUUAAAUUUGUGCAACUAAUGACUAUUUUGUGAAUUUAAUUCAUUUUUGGCACAUAACUCUUUUCAGUUUUUGUGAGUGUAUAAGGAGUGAAAACAUGAUACAUUUGAUGUCCUUUUCUCAACACUUUAUUUUAAUUUAAGUCCAUGUACAGCCAUUUAACUAAAGUCAAACUAAUAUUUCUUAUGGGCUUAUUCAUCAGUUUGUUGUGUAUGUCUUGGUAUUCUUGUUGUAGGCACACUUAUUCAUUUGGUGAAAUGAUGGGCCUCCUAUAGAAUUAUUAUUAUUAUUAUUAUUUUUGGUUUUAUUUGCUUUCUUCUUUGUUUUCUGGAGACCAUGCAAGGUAAAGAGUUUUUGAUCUCCCUUAAAUCUGCUUUUGAUUUGGGGCUUUAAUUUGGUCUAACCUCAAGUGGGUUUCCAUAAAAUCAUCUGAUUUUUUCCUCUUCUUGUUGAUUAUUGUUAGGGACAUUUAUUCCUGCAGCAAACUGCAGCUUUCGAGUUGUCUCUCAUCUCAUGGACUCUUUUCUAGUAGACAAAAUGGGACCCUUAUCAAAAUGGGUCUCUGCUAAGGUGCCAAAUAUGGGAAGGAUUUCUUGUUCCCUUUUAUGGUCAGAUAUGCGCUAUUCUAUGGCUAAAAGGGAAGUUUUUGCUGAGAAUUUCCAUGUUCACAGCACUUAUUGUUUUGUUUGGCUUUUGCGGGAACUGCUUCUUUUUGCUGCUGCCUCCACGAAACAGGAACAUGAGCGGGAAAGAUAUUGUGAGCAUGAUUUCGAGUGGUGGAACUGUUGUGAUCGAAGAAGUUUCAGAUUCAAAUAGCAGCACUUAUCCAUCACUGGCGAGCAAACAUGCAAGGAAUGAUAACAACAAUAUCUCCACUUCCAAAUUCAGAGGUGUUGUAGCACAUCAAAGUGGGCACUGGGGCUGUCAAAUAUAUGCCAAUCACCAACGUGUUUGGCUUGGGACCUUUAAAUAUGAGCAGGAAGCUGCUAUGGCUUAUGAUAGUGCAGCACUAAAGCUUCGAAGUGGUGAUUCUCGCAGAAAUUUUCCAUUUACUAAUAUCACUGUUGAAGAGGAAAACUUUCAAAGUUCUUAUAGUACUGAAGCAGUGCUCAGCAUGAUAAAGGACGGUACUUACCGGUCCAAGUUUGCUGAUUUCUUGAGGACUCGUGCCCAAAAUUUUGAAGCUGAUCUUAGCCUUAAGCUUAUGAAGACACAAAGCAGUAGAAGACUAACGUGCAAGCAACUGUUUCAAAAGGAGCUUACACCAAGUGAUGUUGGCAAGCUUAAUAGACUUGUCAUCCCCAAAAAAUUUGCUACCAAGUUCUUCUCACCAUUGUCAGAAGGUGUCCAAGAAAAUGCUGCCGAUGUUCGGCAGCUAUCUUUCUAUGACAAGGCAAUGAAGUUGUGGAAAUUUAGAUAUUGUUAUUGGAGGAGCAGUCAGAGUUAUGUCUUCACAAGGGGUUGGAGUGGAUUUGUAAAGGAAAAGCAAUUAAAAGCUAAUGACAUCAUUUGUUUUUGCUUAUAUGAGUGCAGAGAAAACUCAAAAGUUACUCAAGCAUACUACAUGAUUGAUGUGAACAAUGGUGGACAUGGACACAGCAGUAGCUUGUUGGAGUUGGGCAACGAAAGAGUUGACAUGGGCAUGGAGUUGCAGCUUCACCUUGGCCAAAGAUGUGCACAAGAUUGCAUGGAGGAGGAGAAUGUUGAAGGAGAUGAUGGAUUGAUGGUUGCCAAGCCAAGAAGUGAGGAUUCACAUACAAAGAGUUUCAGACUCUUUGGUGCUGAAAUCAUCUGAGAGGGUCUAAGACGAUAUUUAGUCUCUUUUUGUUAAAUUUUUGGGCCAGAAUUUUAAUAUGGCCACCUAAUGAUGAUCUAAUCAGCAGAAUUUAGGUUAAACAUUAUUUAUUUUUAAGUACCAAAACAUCAUUUUUUUUUAAGACAAUUUUUAUAAUUUCUGAAUUAUUUUUAAAUAAUGUUUCAAAAGUG
rnacentral:misc_RNA from 1 species